CUUCUGACUGGGCAGCGAGGUGGCGAUGACCACUUGUAAAACAAUGAGCUGGAAUAGGAGGUUAAUGGGCCCUGGCCGUAGGCAGGCAGUCUGUAGUGCUCAUCCUACCAGUCCCUGCUGUCACGGGAUGCAGUCUUCCUGGCGCCACAGAUAACAGAGAUGCUGGAGCAGUAUUUAUAUGCUAAAGCAGAGCCAAAGAAGGGGAAAGGGAAACAUUCCUGGGGAGCCAAUGACUGUUCUUUGACCAACCCUCUCUUGGGAUCUGGAUUGGCACCCCUUUCUGGUAUCAUCUUUCUCAUGAACCCCAAAGGGACAAAACUGAAGAAACUCCUGAUCCAAAGGAAAAUCAUCUGCAUACACGUAUUGGCUGACUUUGGGACACAGUAGGAGAAACUGUUUAUUUUACUAAGGCCUUGACUGGUGUGCUUCCCUUUAAGGAAUCAAACUUGAAUGACUUGUAGAGCCAGUAAAAGUCCCUUGGGAAAACUGACCUCAUACCUUGUCUACACAUUCCCUGUGCAGGGUUUCUGAUGUGAUAUUACCUUUCAUUGGAACUUAAGAGUUAUGAAUGGCCUUCACCCAUGCUGAUGCUUUCUGACUGAGCUGCUCUCUACCUUGAAUACAAGAGACUCUAAUAGUUAGGCAGGAAUAUCAUUACGCCUAUUCAGCAUGAAGAAGUUACAGAAGAUGGAUCUGUGUCCUUCUGCAGCCCUUAGGAUUAAGGGUUCUCCUAUAAAAGCAAGAGCGGAAAUAUGAGAGGCGUUUAAACCAGAGCAACUCCAUCUUGAAUAGGAGCUGAGUAAAAUAAUGCUAAGAUCUACUAUGCUGCAUUCCCAGAUAGGUAGGCAUUCUAAGUCACAGGAUGAGAUAGGAGUUUGGCACAAGAUACAGGUUAUAAAAACCUUGCUGAUAAAACAGGUUUCAAUAAAGAAGCUUGCUAAAACCCACCAAAAGCAAAAUGGCAUUGAGAGUGACCUCUGGUUGUCUUCACUGCUACACUCCCAUUAGCGCCAUGAUAGUUUACAAAUACCAUGGCAACAUCAGAAAGUUAUCCUGUAUGGUCUAAAAAGGGGAGAUAUGAAUAAUCCACCCCUUAUUUAGCAUACAAUCAAGAAAUAACCAUAGAAAUGGGCAACCAGCAGCCCUCAGGGCUGCUCUGCCUAUGGAGUAGCCAUUCUUUUAUGUUUUGACUUUCCUAAUAAACUUGCCUUCACUUUAUAGAUUCA